AUGGCUCAGGAUGAACGCUGGCGGCGUGCCUAAUACAUGCAAGUCGAGCGAACUGAUUAGAAGCUUGCUUCUAUGACGUUAGCGGCGGACGGGUGAGUAACACGUGGGCAACCUGCCUGUAAGACUGGGAUAACUUCGGGAAACCGAAGCUAAUACCGGAUAGGAUCUUCUCCUUCAUGGGAGAUGAUUGAAAGAUGGUUUCGGCUAUCACUUACAGAUGGGCCCGCGGUGCAUUAGCUAGUUGGUGAGGUAACGGCUCACCAAGGCAACGAUGCAUAGCCGACCUGAGAGGGUGAUCGGCCACACUGGGACUGAGACACGGCCCAGACUCCUACGGGAGGCAGCAGUAGGGAAUCUUCCGCAAUGGACGAAAGUCUGACGGAGCAACGCCGCGUGAGUGAUGAAGGCUUUCGGGUCGUAAAACUCUGUUGUUAGGGAAGAACAAGUACGAGAGUAACUGCUCANNNUANCUGCUCGUACCUUGACGGUACCUAACCAGAAAGCCACGGCUAACUACGUGCCAG
rnacentral:rRNA from 2 species